UAGUCCACGCCGUAAACGAUGUCAACUAGCCGUUUGGGACAUUAAGUCCUUGGUGGCGCAGCUAACGCGAUAAGUUGACCGCCUGGGGAGUACGCCGGCAACGGUAAAACUCAAAGGAAUUGACGGGGCCCGCACAAGCGGUGGAGCAUGUGGUUUAAUUCGAUGCAACGCGAAAACCUUACCUACCCUUGACAUCCUCAGAACUUGUUAGAGAUAACUUGGUGCCUUCGGGAACUGAGUGACAGGUGCUGCAUGGCUGUCGUCAGCUCGUGUCGUGAGAUGUUGGGUUAAGUCCCGCAACGAGCGCAACCCUUGUCCCUAGUUGCCAGCAUUUCGGAUGGGAACUCUAGGGAGACUGCCGGUGACAAACCGGAGGAAGGUGGGGAUGACGUCAAGUCAUCAUGGGCCCUUAUGGGGUAGGGGCUACACACGUGCUACAAUGGGUCGGUACAGAGGGGUUGCCAAGCCGCGAGGUGGAGCCAAUCCCUUAAAGCCUAUCCCAGUUCGGGAUUGGGA
rnacentral:rRNA from 1 species